CAACGAGCGAGACCCACGCCCACAGUUGCCAGCGUACUCUCCGGAGUGACGGGUACACUGUGGGGACCGCCGCUGCUAAAGCGGAGGAAGGAAUGGGCAACGGUAGGUCAGUAUGCCCCGAAUAUCCCGGGCUACACGCGAGCUACAAUGGUUGGUACAAUGGGUAUCUACCCCGAAAGGGGAUGGAAAUCUCCUAAAGCCAAUCUUAGUUCGGAUUGAGGGCUGCAACUCGCCCUCAUGAAGCUGGAAUCCGUAGUAAUCGCGUUUCAACAGAACGCGGUAAUACGUCCCUC
rnacentral:rRNA from 1 species